ensembl:snoRNA
CACCAAAGUAGCCAUAAACAAUACAUAUUUCUGUUAAUUAAACUUUGGGACAUUAAAAUGGGCUAAGAGAGAUGAUUGGGUAGAAAGUAUUAUUCUAUUCAUUUGCCUCCCAGCCUACAAAA